GCCUGUGGCUCAGUUGGUAGAGCAUUGCACUAACAACACAAAGGUUGUGGGAUUUGAACCCCAGUUCAGGGA